GGCCCGAUGGUCUAACGGUAAGACUUCCGUCCCUCAAUUGAUCAACCAAUCUUGGAUACCUUCAGGCUCGCCCUUGGAUAUCUCGAGUCUGCGGUUGAUUGAGGAAAGAUGGAGAACUCCAGUUCAAAUCUGGAUCAGGCCA
rnacentral:tRNA from 1 species